rnacentral:lncRNA from 1 species
AUAGUUGACAUCAGUAGGACCAUGUGAUAAAUGGUUAAGGCUUCACACCUCCCUCCCUCAUGUCCUGGAUUUAAUCCCUUGUUGCCACUUUUCCUCACCAUUUUUUCCAUUUUUUUCAUUUGUUUUCACCCUUAUUUUUUAUGUUCUUUCCCCAUUAUUUUUAGCCAUUCCAAUGAAUUCAUUUCUGACUUUUUUAUGCCUACUUCUUAUUUGUGACAUUG